GGGAUAGAAUUCCAGGAGUAGCGGUGAAAUGCGUAGAUAUCUGGAGGAAUACCAAAGGCGAAGGCAGUCCCCUGGUCCGAUACUGACACUGAGGUACGAAAGCGUGGGGAGCAAACAGGAUUAGAUACCCUGGUAGUCCACGCCCUAAACGAUGUCGAUUAGCCAUUGGAAGGACCCCUUUUCCUUUCAGUGACGUAGCUAACGCGUUAAAUCGACCGCCUGGGAAGUACGACCGCAAGGUUAAAACUCAAAGGAAUUGACGGGGACCUGAACAAGCGGUGAAUGAUGUGGAUUAAUUCGAUGCUACGCGAAGAACCUUACCUACCUUUGACAUGGCCAAAGUUCUACCGAGAGGCGGAAGUACUCGUAAGAGGAUUGGCGCACAGGUGCUGCAUGGUUGUCGUCAGUUCGUGUCGUGAGAUGUUGGGUUCAGUCCCGCAACGAACGCAACCCUUAUCUUUAAUUGCUCCUAUUUUAACAGGCACUUUAAAGAAACUGCCAAUGAUAAGUUGGAGGAAGGUGGGGAUCACGUCAAGUCCGCAUGGCCUUUAUAGGUAGGGCCUCACACGUCAUACAAUGGUUAGAACAAAGAGCUGCAAAUUCGUAAGAAGGAGCCAAUCUCACAAACCUAACCUCAGUUCGAAUUGCGGUCUGCAACUCGAGCGCAUGAAGCCGGAAUCGCUAGUAAUCGUGGAUCAGAAUGCCACGGUGAAUACGUUCUUAGGUCUU
rnacentral:rRNA from 1 species